rnacentral:rRNA from 1 species
GUGGGGAAUAUUGGGCAAUGGGCGAAAGCCUGACCCAGCAACGCCGCGUGAAGGAAGAAGGUUUUCGGAUCGUAAACUUCUAUCCUUGGUGAAGAUAAUGACGGUAGCCAAGAAGGAAGCCCCGGCUAACUACGUGCCAGCAGCCGCGGUAAUACGUAGGGGGCAAGCGUUGUCCGGAAUGAUUGGGCGUAAAGGGCGCGUAGGCGGCCCGGUAAGUCUGAAGUGAAAGUCCUGCUUUUAAGGUGGGAAUUGCUUUGGAUACUGUCGGGCUUGAGUGCAGGAGAGGUAAGCGGAAUUCCCGGUGUAGCGGUGAAAUGCGUAGAGAUCGGGAGGAACACCAGUGACGAAGGCGGCUUACUGGACUGUAACUGACGCUGAGGCGCGAAAGUGUGGGGAGCAAACAGGAUUAGAAACCCGGGUAGUCC